AAGUCCCUACGGGGGGCAGCAGUGGGGAAUAUUGGGCAAUGGGCGCAAGCCUGACCCAGCAACGCCGCGUGAAGGAAGAAGGCUUUCGGGUUGUAAACUUCUUUUGUCAGGGACGAAGCAAGUGACGGUACCUGACGAAUAAGCCACGGCUAACUACGUGCCAGCAGCCGCGGUAAUACGUAGGUGGCAAGCGUUAUCCGGAUUUAUUGGGUGUCACGGGCGUGUAGGCGGGAAUGCAAGUCAGAUGUGACACCUAUGCGCUCAACGCAUAG
rnacentral:rRNA from 1 species